UCAUCGCGCACCCCGCCGGCUACCGCCGUCCGCCGGAUCCUUCCUCCGAAACCGAUCCCCUCCGCGCUUGCGCAACCCUUCGGCGGCGCACGCUUGGCCUCGCGGAAGCCGGCGCCGCGCGACCGCGGCGGUGCGGGAUCGCUCGCGCCGACGAACCGGGAGUCCGGGACUCCGGGACGCUACGCUUACGCGACUCCGAGCACGAUCGAGAUGAGGGAAAGGAAAGUUGAAGAUCCAGAUAGGAAGAUAUGAUAAUUCAGAAGGCUUCUUAAUUUUAAAGAGCUAAGUGAUGUACCUCCUGUUCCCUCUCAGAUAUAUUGGCUUUGUUCUUCGUUGAAAUUGUCCUUUCGGAGGAUUUCUUUCUCCAAAGCCAUGUUUUAUUAUCCAUCAAUGAGAUACUAAGUAUCUAUAAAUAUUCUAAGCCCCCUAAAAAUUAAGCAAUGGAAAUAUUAACAAGAUAUAUUCGCACCAAAAUGUGCAAAAGGUGGAUACAGAUGGAACAUUUCCUUGGGUGGUAAUGAGGUAAUCUAUUAAGAAACUAAAUAUCAGCAGCAUGUAUGUAUCAAAUCUUCUAUGCAAAACUGUUCCAAGUUACAUAUCUGAUAUCAAGUUCUAUUUUGGUACACUGGAAGUCUGGAAUUUAUAUAAUUGUGUCAUACAUGUCACUUACUAGCAUUAAUUUUUUUAUACCAUGAUUGCAAAUUCCUGUAUUUUGUUAACCAAUGAACGUUGGGUAACAAUGUAUAAUCUUAAUAGAAAUUGGCCAGUAUCAUUAACUAGUCCAUUAUGCAUGAUUAGUCAGCUUCUUCAUCGGUGGACCACAAUAUCCUUUGCCUUUCAAUGCAGAAAGCGACGCUCAACUCAAAAAGAAAGUAAAGGAUAUAGUGAAGCGUAUUUUGUUCCAUUCUCUUUGCACCCACCACUUACUCCAAAAGAAGCGUCAUCAACCGAUGCAAUUAAAACCAGAUGGUACAAAGGCAUUUAUGUGACUCAGGGCCUAUUUGGAUGGCAUUUAUGCCACAGGAUAUCACCUAAUGCAAGUACUCUUUUGAACAACUUGAAUACAAAUCUUAAAACCUCUGAACGAAGUUGUAUUGCUAAAUGAGAGUGGUGGACCACCCUCACAACAUCUAUUUAGACUUAUUCUGCCAAUUCACUACACCUAAAUCUAGACAAGAGACAGUUCGCAAAGAGGGAAGAGAAGAAGAUUACAGAAAAGAUGAAGGCACUGACAAGCAGUCCAAACUCAGAAGUCUAACUCUAAACCCACUGGAAGUAUUCAGAAUCAAUAACUUCCUUCUGUGCAGCAGGAAGUGAAAAUGGCACAUCAGCUAAAACUGAUGGCGAAAACCCAAAAAGGGCUCCAAGGGUGAAACAAGAAGACAGGAUUCCUAGGAGCACCAGCAGUUUAUUUUUUGCUGGGCCUUUCCCAAGCUGGGUGGCCAAAUUUCAUUAAGAGGGGUUUAGAAUUUACGCACCAGCAGUUUAACAAGAGUGAUUUCUGCAAUAUGCAUGCAUGUAAGUGCAGAUAAGCAACUAAGCCAAAAACAUCACCAUCUAAGUAGCUCCAAAUCCAUUAGCCCAAGCUCUAGAUUUCCCCAUCGUUUUCCCAACCACCAAACGAGAAGAAGAUUGAGUGUGCGCACCCCGCACAUUGAAAGAGGGCAAGAGUAACAUAGAAGAAAGGAAGAUUUCCAAGAACACAAGUAAAGGCACUGGUAGCCAGUGAGGUGAGUGAGCUGAACUGAACUGAACUGACCUCCAGUGACAACAGGUAGUGGCUCUGCUGCAGCUCACCAAGAAUGAACUGCUGCUGCCUCACUGUGAGCCUGUGACGGCAUCCUAUGGCUAUGGAGGAGGAGGGAAGGAGAUGAGGACAAGGACGCAAAGGUGGAUGGAAGGGAGAAAAAGGUGACGCGGGUAUAAGAACAAAGCGAUCGUUCAGCUUUUCCCGUGGGGCUCUCUAGCAACAGAUGUAAAGUUUUUCUUACUAGAUCCUUGCAAUGACGCAUGUAGUACAGGAUACUGAUGCUGCGGAUUGGCUCACUGGCCAGUGGACCCGGGGCAAAAAUUUAACCUUCACUGAAGAUAAUCAAUCCGUAUGUGCGGUGAAGCCUGUGUGGUUAUGUACGGCUUACGAGCUGAGCUGUGAUGAAAAAUCGACCUAACUCGAGGAGUGGUUUGUCCGAGUUUGGGGCUUUUAAGUGUCGGCGGUGCCAUUGGACAAGAGAAUGGAGUGCGAUAGCAGCAUUGUACUCUCCAUUAAAUUACUGCUCUUGCUGUCCCCAUAGCUACAGGAGUAUCUUGUGAUUCCAGCAAGUUAUGGCCAUAAUUACCUGUUUUUGUCCAGGAGAGUUCAUUGCCAGCUUGUCGCAGUAGAAAAUGAUUUUCAUCAGCA